CUAGCCGUAAACGAUGGGCACUGGCUAGAGGUGGCCCUGCGCUGUCUCUGGUGUAGCAAAAGUGUUAAGUGCCCCGCCUGGGGAGUAUGGUCGCAAGGCUGAAACUCAAAGGAAUUGACGGGGGCUCACACAAGCGGUGGAACAUGUGGUUCAAUUCGAAGCAACGCGAAAAACCUUACCUGGGUUUGACAUGCUGGGAUUAUGCCAAUGAAAGUUGGCAAAUUGCCCGCAAGGGUGUAACCAGCACAGGUGU
rnacentral:rRNA from 1 species